UACGUAGGUCCCGAGCGUUGUCCGGAUUUAUUGGGCGUAAAGCGAGCGCAGGUGGUUUAUUAAGUCUGGUGUACAAGGCAGUGGCUCAACCAUUGUAUGCAUUGGAAACUGGUAGACUUGAGUGCAGGAGAGGAGAGUGGAAUUCCAUGUGUAGCGGUGAAAUGCGUAGAUAUAUGGAGGAACACCGGUGGCGAAAGCGGCUCUCUGGCCUGUAACUGACACUGAGGCUCGAAAGCGUGGGGAGCAAACAGG
rnacentral:rRNA from 1 species